AUGCGCGCCGGGGCCUACACCAUCCACCAGUCGCUCACCGCCGAGGCGGCCGCGGUGCUCAAGCUCGCCGUCGGCCUCGCGCGCCGCCGCGGCCAUGCGCAGGUGACGCCGCUGCACGUCGCCUUCGCGCUGCUCAGCUCCGCCUGCUCGCAGCCGCUCGCGGGGGGCGCCGCCUACGGCCUGCUCAGGCGCGCCUGCCUGCGCUCCCACCCCGCGGUGCCGCCCGCGCAGCACCCGCUCCAGUGCCGCGCGCUCGAGCUCUGCUUCAAUGUCGCGCUCAACCGCCUGCCCAACUCCGGGCCGCACUCGCCGCCGCCGUCUUCGGCCGCGCCCUUCGCGUCCUCGCUCGUCCAGCCUAACCCGGCGCUCUCCAACGCGCUCGUCGCCGCGCUCAAGCGCGCGCAGGCCAACCAGCGCCGAGGCUGCGUCGAGCUGCAGCAGCCACCGCCAUCCCCCGGCCCGGUGCAGCACCAAGGCGCGCAGCAGCAGCAGCCGCUCCUCGCCAUCAAGGUGGAGCUCGACCAGCUCAUCAUCUCCAUUCUUGACGACCCCAGCGUAAGCCGCGUGAUGCGGGAGGCGGGCUUCUCCAGCGCCACCGUCAAGAGCAACCUCGAGGAGGAGAGCGCGCUCAUGAUGUCAUCCUCGUCUUCGUCCCCUCCUCCGCCGGUCAUACCUCCACAUUUCUUCCUCGACCACGGCAGCAUUGACGGCUGCGGCUUCGGGAUGUGGCCGGCACAGUUCUUGAGCUCGCCGGCCGUGGCCGUUCCGUACUGCAAGGAGGACGUGAGGGCGGUCUUGGAGGUGAUGGUGCGGAAGCAGGGGAGAAGGACCAACCCCGUCGUCGUCGGCGACUCGGUGUCGAUGGCGGAGGCCGUGGCCGGCGAGCUGCUGCGGUGCCUCGAGCGCGGAGAAGUCCCCGAGGAGCUCGCCGGCGCGCACCUGCUCAAGCUUCAGCUCUCCUACGUGCACGUCCGGCUCAUGAGCCGCGUCGACGUGGACGCCAAGGCCGCGGAGCUCCGCCGCAGCGUGGACGCCGUCCAGCGCGGCGGCCUGGUCGUCUACGUCGGAGACCUGCGGUGGGCGCUGGACGAGGAUCCCGCCGGCGGCGGCGCCGACCACACCGCGUCGUCGUACAGCCCCGUGGAGCACAUGGUGGCCGAGCUUGGCCGGCUCCUCGACGACCUCCGCGCCAGCGCGCCGCCGCGAUGCCGCGUCUGGCUGGUGGCCACGGCCAGCUACCAGACCUACAUGCGGUGCCAGCACCGGCGUGGGCAGCCAUUGCUGGAGUCCGCCUGGGCGCUGCAGGCCGUGGCGGUCCCCACCGCGAGCGGCACUGGGCUGGCCCUCAACAAUCUCCAUUCUUCCUCCUCUCCGAGCAGUGCGACUGCGAUGCAGCAGGCCAUGGCGACCAGGCAGCUGCUUGCCCAGAGUCCUGUGGCAAUGGCAGCCGAGCCAAUGGCGCUGGGAGGCGAGCAGGAAGACAAGCUGAUGCUGUGCAGCGAAUGCAACAGGAGCUACGAGAGGGAGGCGUCCGUUGUCAAGGCAGAGGCUGGCACCGAGGGCCUACGCUGCAGCCUCCCGGCCUGGCUGGUGCUCGACAACAAGCCACCGGCCGAUCAUCAAAUGCCACACCAGGGCAACUAUCUGAUCGAACUCAAGAGGAAAUGGAGCAGGCUGUGCAGAAAGCUUCACCUGUGGCGCAGCCAGCAGCAUGAUCCGUGCUCCCCUUCUUGCUUUGGUCCUGGCAUAUCUGCACCUCCAAACUCGUGGUGGCCGAGUCCUUGCCUGCUGCCGAGCAGCCAGAGCACGCCGAGCAUUGCAGGCUUCUUGGGCUUGGAGGGACUGACGGAGCAUUCAAGGAGCAACAGCAGGUGGUCACCUCCAUCGCCUCUGCCUUGUCCGGGCCUCAUGGAGCCAGAGCGCCCGGACGUGAAGACGACGCUCGCUCUUGGCACCCUCCUCCCACUCUCGGACACGGCCACCUCCGACGGUCGUGCUCAGGGGAGCCACGAUGGAGUGACGCAUGAGCUGGAGCGGCGGCUGCGCAAAAACAUACCGCGCCAGCCAGUAGGCACCGUUGCGGAGAUCGUGGAGGCGGUCGCCAGCAGCCGGAGCUAUGGAAGGAAGGGCGUCUGUCUGUUCUUCAAGGGGAGCGACCACGCUGCCCAGCAACGGGCGGCGGCGGUGAUCGCCGAGACGUGCUGUGGCUCGGCCGAUCAGAUCAUAGCCGCGGAUCCCAAGAAAUUCAGCUGCGCCGAGGAUUUCUGCUCCGAUGUGGUCUCGAGGGCGUGCAAGCUCAGUUGCGGCAGGUUCGUGCUCGUCAUCCCCGACGUCGAGCACGCGCCGCGGCACGUUGUCGAGUGUCUCGUGGCGGCAUCCAUGUGCGGGUUUAUCAAGGACCAUUUCGGCCAAGAACUCGAUCUCUCUGGAUCCAUCAUUAUCUUCACAACAUCAGAGCUUGCAAACCGGGCCACCGACGUCAUCAGCCUGCGGUUAUGGUCGUCGUCGUCGCCCGGCGAUGUCAAGAGGAAGGCAGAGAUCGAGCCACCACCAACAACAAGGGAGUGCAAGAGGGCACGGCACGGCUCCAGCUCCGGCCAUGGCAUCGACCUUGACCUCAACCUCUGCGCCGGCAACGACAGUGACGACGAUGCUGUUCCGAGCGACAUCACCCACGAGAGUGACAGCAGAGAACACGGGGACUUGCACCACCUCCUCGAGUCGGUCGCCACCGGCGUCCUCGCCCUUGACAAGGACGCCGACGCUGACCAGCGCGCCGCGGCGACCAUCCGUGAAGUGCUCGUUGGGGCGCUCGGCCGGGAGGUGCAGCUCGACGACGAGGCGGCCGAGGCUCUCACCGCGGCUUCUGGACACUUUCUUGACGAGGUGCUGUGGAGGUGGGCGGUGGAGGUGUUUGAACCGGCGGCGGCGGCGGCAGUGGUGGAAAAUGGCGGGAAGGUGGUGGUAUUGGGGAUGGGGCCAGGGGGCGGGGCCCAGGUGUCAGGGUUCAUGGGCUCGGCCCUUCCAAGCAGGGUCCUUGUAGACUGA
rnacentral:rRNA from 1 species